AAGCGUGGAGGUGGCCGGUGCGGGAGUGCAGGCAGGAGGAUGCCCACAGGAGAAAGGCUAGAGGCUUCUUUUACAUUAGCAAUGUAUUCAGCCAUGUUUGUUUCUCCCCGUGACAUCCCCGAGCCUCAAUUAAGCUACAGGCAGAGGAACAAUUUAAUGUUUUGGGGAAAGAGUCGGUUUCAGCCUUCACCUGGAACCCGUUCCUUAACGUCCCCAUCUCUUACGCCUAAGGGAGUGGGGUCUCAACCUGUGUGCGUCUAGCUGAAGCUUGGGGCUGUGACAAAGUAAAUAGAAAGCGCCGUGAACAUUGCCAUGAAUGCUAACCUGCUGGAUAUUAACUCCUUGCAUUUGUGCAGCACUCAACAGUUUAUAAAGCAAGCUCACAACUAGGGACCCGAGGUCAAAUCAGGUGUCUGAAUUCGUACAUGUGGAGGGAGCACCCAUCUGCCACAGUGGGUGUGUGGAGACCAGAGGGCAGGUCGCAGGAGUCAGUCCUCCACAGCCACCGCUUGAAUUCCAGGAGAUCAAAUUCAUGUUUCGUAGAAUUGUGGCAAGUAUCUCCAUCGACAAUACCAUCUUGCCAGCUCCAUACUCAGCAUUUUCAGGAGCCAUUGAGGCCUUCUCCACGGUAGCUCAUAUUUUACAUUCUGAUCGGCAAGGUAUCUCAUCCACAUUCGGAACAUUCUCUCCUGGAGAGAGGAAGGGAGAAGCUCAAAGACUUAGAAAGCUGAAGGAAGUUACAGGAAGCCCAGAAAGUCCUGAGACUCAAGUACGUUCCCUCCCACAGCUGUGUAAACAAGGAGCAGUCAAGCAAUCCAGCAAUGGCUCUGGAGAAGAGGCAUUUGGCGGUGCUGCUAAGUUGGGCUGUGGACACAGGAUGCAGUUUAACCUGUGCUGCUAGCUGGCAUAGGGGGCUUUGGGUGAUGUAACUUCAUUUGGGUCAUCCGUGCUUCUGUCAGUCACCAUAGUGAGCUCAUUUGUUCCCCGAGUAAGUCUUGGGAGGAAUGACUUCCUCGGUCACCCUUGGUGCCCCAUCUGGAGUGGGCAGACAUUCGUUCACACCUCCUCAGGAAAAGCCACACAACGUCACGUGUGGGAUUUGCAGAGUCUCCCAUUCUAUAGAUGUGUGUGUGUGUGUGUGUGUGUGUGUGUGUGUGUGUGUGCUUGUUUCUUUUUGGACACAGGGUUUUGUUGGGAUUCAGACCUGGGACAAGUGGCUGAGGUGCCCAUUUAACCAAAGCAGACCUGGCUUCCAGGUUCUCCCAGCAUCCUUCAGUCCCUACCUGCUACAGGGCAUGGCUGACAUACCCCACCUCCUACCUGAACUUUCCAGCCCAGGGUGGGGCUUCCUCUCCCCAGAGGCUCUUCACUAUAUAAUCCAGAUAUUUUGGUUCUCUGUCUCUCUGUCACUGUCUGUGUAUGUGUGUGUCUAUCUGUCUGUAUCUCUCUCUCUGUGUGUCUGUGUGUCUGUUUUUGUAUCUCUGUCACUGUUUCUGUGUGUGUCCGUGUCUGUAUCUCUCUAUCUCUCUUUGUCUCUCUCUCUCUCUCUCUGCCUCUUCGUGACAACUUUACUGACCCCCUCCUGUGAGGUUGGUGAACUUGAGAGCUGUCCUCCCAAUAAA